rnacentral:lncRNA from 10 species
CCUCCUCCCGCGUCUUGGCCCGCAAGAGUCCCGGGGGUCCGCCCGCAGCUGGCUAAGCGCUAGCCCGGCCUGUGGCGAGUCUGCAGAGCUCGCCCGGAAGUAGCGUUGCGCGCGCAGAGGAUGGGCGCUGAGCAGCACACAGCCCGCGGCGGGGUCUCAGGAUCCGCGGCGCUGCCCGGGGCCGGGGGAAGGAAGCCAGCCGAGGAGACGCACGUGCCCUGAGUCCGGGAGCGGGGAGCCUCUUCAUCUCUCCAUCCUCCCUCCGCGCGCGCCCUCAGCCGUCCUCGUCCGCUCACCAUGCACCUCCCCUCCAAGAAAGGGCCACAUGCGUGCCAGGGACGCGAGCCCCGGCCACAGGGACAUAGCAGCCUAGAAGGCCUCCCCAGAGGACUUCUCCCUCCCUCCAUGCCAAUGUCAUGGCGCAACUUGUACUCCUGGGCUGUCUCUUGGAUGUACAGGCUUAGAAACGUUUCUUUUUCCUGGAAGGGUGAAAUAAUGUUCUUACCACGGUCUCUCCAGCACCAAAAAGAGCCUGGUACAGAGUAGAUAGAUACUCAAUGAAUGAGUGCUGAAUCGCUCUGAAUGGAGAGGGGAUGCCCACAACUGCAUCUUUUGCCAGGUGAUGCUUCGCACACUCAAGUUUGAAGAUUAACGGUCCUAGACGUCAAACCUAUUUGCAUGCCAAGUGUCGUUUUAUUUUAAAAUGUCUUCACUUUUUUUUUUUUUGGUAGAGAAGGGGGUCUUACUACGUUGCCCAGGCUGGUCUUGAACUCCUGGCCUCAAGUGAUCUUCCCAGCUUGGCCUCCCAAAGUGCUGGGAUUACAGGCAUGAGCCACUGCCCCCAGUCCCUUUUUUUUUUUUUUUUUUUUUUUUUUUGAGAUGGAGUCUUGCUCUGUUGCCAGGCUGGAGUGCAGUGGUGCGAUCUUGGCUCACUGCAACCUCUACCUCCUGGGUCCAAGCGUUUCUCCUGCCUUAGCCUCCCGAGUAGCUGGGACUACAGGCCAGCUAAUUUUUGUAUUUUUAGUAGCGACUGGGUUUCACCAUGUUGGGAAGGAUGGUCUCGAUCUCUUGACCUCGUGAUCCGCCCACCUCGGCCCCCCAAAGUGCUGGAUUACAGACGUGAGCCACCACACCCUGCCCAGUCUCUUUUUUUCUGGAAGUUUUAAGAUACUCGACGCAUGCCUUUGGCUUUGUUCAGCCAAAAGGGACUAUUAAAUGGAAAAAAGCAGGGAGGCACUACAUUAUGUUUUAAAGCUCACACUGAAGUUAACCUCAAGAACUAGAAAGUACAGAAAACAAGGCUUUCCCUACAUUAAGCAGGAAGAUCAGCAAACACAGGUUCGAAACAGGAAAGCACUGAACACCCGAUGGCUGCCUGAGAGAAACGUCCCAGGACACACUGACCCACGUGACAGCACGUGCCACUCAGACGAGGUGUCAGCAACGGAGACAGAAUGAGGAAACGGAGACCAAGGUGACGUCGGCAGUGGCCGCUGAUGCCUGCUCCAGGUGGGGUGGUGGUGGCCAUGGGCUCUGCGAAUCCCAGGCUCAAUGGCAACACUGAGGUGGGAGGAGGGGAAGGGACACUUGCUGGUGUCUGGCUUUCCUCUUGGGCAUCAGCUUCCAGCCCUUCAGCCUCAGCUCACCAACUUCCAUGGGUGGGCCCUGCUUGACUCCCCCAGCCUGUCAGCGUGUCGCCUCCCCUCUGCCACCCUGGGCUGCUUCACAACUCAGGACCGGAUGUGAGCUAUUAGGGAACCAGGCUUCCUGAUUUCCAGAGGCCAUCAGUGUGGAAGGGUGCAGGCCUGGGAGCCACCUUUGUGAGCAGGCAGGGAGAGCAGGUGGGAGUGUGAAGCCAGCACCGAGGAAGGAAGCAGAGCUGGGAAACGGUGUUAAGGGACAUGCGUGCAUGCGCGCGGUCCACGGCCUAGGCUCUGCCUUUGGGCCCUACCCACCGACUGUGUAUGUGAGCCCCCACAUUUGCAUUUAACAAUUUAACACCAGGCACCUGUCUCCUGCAGUGAUGCAGGCUCGGGACCUCCAGAGCAGCGGGCAGGAUGACGCCCUGAACCUGCACUUCAUCUCCUGGCUGCUUUAUUCUGUCAAUUGACUUCUGUAAUACAAUUUCCAUAUGGUGACACUGCCUUCCAAAACAGUUAGAGCUUAUUCUCAGUAUUCUUCAUUGGCAGUGGAAAAUGCUUCAGUACUUUAUUGAAAGAAAGCAAUAAAUAAUACUGUGAUAAAAAUA